rnacentral:tRNA from 2 species
GGGGCUGUAGUUUAACGGGAAAAUUCUUGGCUCCAGACCAAAAGAUUCAGGUUCGACUCCUGAUAGCCCCA